rnacentral:rRNA from 1 species
GACGAACGCUGGCGGCGUGCUUAACACAUGCAAGUCGAACGGGAGUAUCGAAGAAGCUUGCUUUUAAGAUACUUUAGUGGCGGACGGGUGAGUAACGCGUGAGGAGCUGUCCUAUGCAGGGGGACAACAGCUGGAAACGACUGCUAAUACCCCAUAAGCCGAGAGGUAAAAGGAUUUAUCCGGCAGAGGAGGUACUCGCGUCCUAUCAGCUAGUAGGUGAGGUAACGGCUCACCUAGGCGAAGACGGGUAGCCGGCCUGAGAGGGCGAACGGCCACACUGGAACUGAGAUACGGUCCAGACUCCUACGGGAGGCAGCAGUGGGGAAUAUUGGGCAAUGGGGGCAACCCUGACCCAGCGACGCCGCGUGGGUGAAGAAAUCCUUCGGGAUGUAAAGCCCUGUUGUAUGGGAAGAGCAGAGGACGGUACCAUACGAGGAAGCCCCGGCAAACUACGUGCCAGCCGCCGCAGUAACAC